UACAGAGGGUGCGAGCGUUGUUCGGAAUUACUGGGCGUAAAGCGUGCGCAGGCGGUUUUGUAAGUCUGUCGUGAAAGCCCCGGGCUUAACCUGGGAAUUGCGAUGGAGACUGCAAGGCUUGAAUCUGGCAGAGGGGGGUAGAAUUCCACGUGUAGCAGUGAAAUGCGUAGAGAUGUGGAGGAACACCGAUGGCGAAGGCAGCCCCCUGGGUCAAGAUUGACGCUCAUGCACGAAAGCGUGGGGAGCAAACAGG
rnacentral:rRNA from 1 species